AUUGAACGCUGGCGGCAUGCCUUACACAUGCAAGUCGAACGGUAGGGGGAGCAAUCCCCUGAGAGUGGCGAACGGGUGAGUAAAGCAUCGGAACGUGCCCAGUUGUGGGGGAUAACUACUCGAAAGAGUGGCUAAUACCGCAUACGACCUGAGGGUGAAAGCGGGGGACCGAAAGGCCUCGCGCAGUUGGAGCGGCAGAUGUCAGAUAGCUAGUUGGCGGGGUAAAGGCCCACCAAGGCGACGAUCUGUAGCUGGUCUGAGAGGACGACCAGCCACACUGGGACUGAGACACGGCCCAGACUCCUACGGGAGGCAGCAGUGGGGAAUUUUGGACAAUGGGCGAAAGCCUGAUCCAGCCAUUCCGCGUGCAGGAUGAAGGCCCUCGGGUUGUAAACUGCUUUUGUACAGAACGAAAAGGUCUCUAUUAAUACUAGGGGCUCAUGACGGUACUGUAAGAAUAAGCACCGGCUAACUACGUGCCAGCAGCCGCCGUAA
rnacentral:rRNA from 1 species